rnacentral:rRNA from 1 species
UACGUAAGUGGCGAGCGUUAUCCGGAAUUACUGGGCGUAAAGCGUGCGCAGGCGGCGCGUUAAGACAGGUGUGAAAGCCCCGAGCUUAACUUGGGAAUUGCGCUUGUGACUGGCGUGCUGGAGUGUGGCAGAGGGAGGUGGAAUUCCACGUGUAGCAGUGAAAUGCGUAGAGAUGUGGAGGAACACCGAUGGCGAAGGCAGCCUCCUGGGCCAGCACUGACGCUCAUGCACGAAAGCGUGGGGAGCAAACAGG